rnacentral:rRNA from 1 species
GGUCGCAAGAUUGAAACUCAAAGGAAUUGACGGGGGCCCGCACAAGCGGAGGAACAUGUGGUUUAAUUCGAUGAUACGCGAGGAACCUUACCUGGGCUUAAAUGCAGGACGACGUCCCGGGAAAUCGGGACUCUCUUCGGAGCGGACUGCAAGGUGCUGCAUGGUUGUCGUCAGCUCGUGCCGUGAGGUGUCGGGUUAAGUCCCAUAACGAGCGCAACCCUUAUCGUUAGUUGCCAGCGGGUAAAGCCGGGGACUCUAACGAAACUGCCGGUGUAAACCGAGAGGAAGGUGGGGAUGACGUCAAAUCAGCACGGCCCUUAUGUCCAGGGCUACACACGUGUUACAAUGGCCGGUACAGAGGGUAGCUACUAUGUAAAUAGAUGCCAAUCUCGAAAACCGGUCUUAGUUCGGAUCGAAGUCUGCAACUCGACUUCGUGAAGCUGGAUUCGCUAGUAAUCGCGCAUCAGCCACGGCGCGGUGAAUACGUUCCCGGGCCUUGUACACACCG